CUAUGGUGGCGCCGGCGCACGGGUGCGUAACGCGUAUGCAACCUACCUUUAACAGGGGGAUAACACUGAGAAAUUGGUACUAAUUCCCCAUAACAUUCGAGAAGGCAUCUUCUUGGGUUAAAAACUCCGGUGGUUAAAGAUGGGCAUGCGUUGUAUUAGCUAGUUGGUGAGGUAACGGCUCACCAAGGCAACGAUACAUAGGGGGACUGAGAGGUUAACCCCCCACAUUGGUACUGAGACACGGACCAA
rnacentral:rRNA from 1 species